rnacentral:lncRNA from 10 species
GUUCAGAAAAACAGCCAGAUGUCAGGCAUCACCACCUUCCCAAAACAAAGCCAUUGCCCUCCAUCGACUCCCUGGGUCCUCCUCCCCCAAAGCCUUCAAGACCUCCCAUCGUGAACCUCCAGGCCUUUCAGAGGCAGCCAGCUGCUGUUCCCAAGACUCAGGGGGAAGUGACUGUGGAAGAGGGCUCCCUGUCUCCAGAGAGGCUUUUCAAUGCAGAAUUUGAAGAACCACAUAAUUACGAGGCAACAAUUUCAUAUCUGAGACACUCUGGCAACUCCAUUAACCUGUGCACUGCAAAAGAAAUUGCUGAUCCAACUUAUGAAGUUGGAAUUGAAGAACUCCAAAAGCCUGGGAAGAAUUUUCCCUAUCCAGAACCUAGGUAGAUGCCUGUGAAGGGACACCUGAAAAAAUUCAGAUGACCAACGUCCACACAGGUAGAAGGAACAUGUUGGCUGGAAAGCAAGAGGCCAUGAUUGACAUCAUCCAGACAAAUCCCUGCCCUGAGGGCCCAAAGCUGGCCAGGCACUCCCAAGGCCACUCAACUUGCCCUAGUGAGGAAGCUGUGCAGUAGUGGAAAAAAACACUGAAUUGAAAAGCAGAAGUCUUGAGUUCAAACCUAAGCUCUAAUACUUAGUAAGCUGUGUGGUGGGCAUCUGGAGGUUUUGGAGUCAACUAAAGAAACUCCAGACCUAGGGGUCUCUAAGACAAGUUCCAUCUCGGAGGAGAUAUAUGAUGAUGUCGAGUACUCCAGGAAAGAGGUACCGAAGCUGAACUACUCUAGCUCACUUGCCUCAAGUAGUGAAGAAAAUAGAGAACUGUAUGAAGAUGUCUACAAAACAAAGAACAACUACCCAAAGAUAGAUUUAGAUGGAAAAGAAGCACUCAAAAGACUGCAGCAAUU